GUGGUAAGAGGUACUCGGGUAGCCAGGGUGACUUGCCCAUGGAACCGCCGGACGCCGCUCUCUGUGGCAGAGAGCUCGGCUGCCAAGGGAGUUUCACAGGCAAAUCAUCCUUGGCUAUCGAAGAUGGCCUCUUACCC
rnacentral:pre_miRNA from 1 species